rnacentral:rRNA from 1 species
GGCCUACGGGAGGCUGCAGUGGGGAAUAUUGGACAAUGGGGGCAACCCUGAUCCAGCCAUGCCGCGUGUGUGAAGAAGGCCUUCGGGUUGUAAAGCACUUUCAGUGGGGAGGAAGGCCUGUUGGUUAAUACCCAUCGGGAUUGACGUUACCCACAGAAGAAGCACCGGCAAACUCCGUGCCAGCAGCCGCGGUAAUACGGAGGGUGCGAGCGUUAAUCGGAAUUACUGGGCGUAAAGCGCACGUAGGCGGCCUGUUAAGCUGGAUGUGAAAGCCCCGGGCUCAACCUGGGAAUUGCACCCAGAACUGGCAGGCUAGAGUACGGUAGAGGUGAGUGGAAUUUCCUGUGUAGCGGUGAAAUGCGUAGAUAUAGGAAGGAACAUCAGUGGCGAAGGCGACUCACUGGACUGAUACUGACGCUGAGGUGCGAAAGCGUGGGGAGCAAACAGGAUUAGAUACCCGUGUAGUCGGU